rnacentral:siRNA from 1 species
GCAAAGCUUGAUUCUCUCUGUAA